AUGCCGCGUGAGUGAAGAAGGCCUUCGGGUUGUAAAGCUCUUUUGUCAGGGAAGAAACACCGGCUCUAACACAGUCCGGGAAUGACGGUACCUGAAGAAUAAGCACCGGCUAACUACGUGCCAGCAGCCGCGGUAAUACGUAGGGUGCGAGCGUUAAUCGGAAUUACUGGGCGUAAAGCGUGCGCAGGCGGUUAUACAAGACAGGCGUGAAAUCCCCGGGCUUAACCUGGGAAUGGCGCCUGUGACUGUAUAGCUAGAGUGUGUCAGAGGGGGGUAGAAUUCCACGUGUAGCAGUGAAAUGCGUAGAUAUGUGGAGGAAUACCAAUGGCGAAGGCAGCCCCCUGGGAUAACACUGACGCUCAUGCACGAAAGCGUGGGGAGCAAACAGGAUUAGAUACCCUGGUAGUCCACGCCCUAAACGAUGCUGACUAGUUGUUCGGGAUUUACAUCCUGAGUAACGUAGCUAACGCGUGAAGUCAGCCGCCUGGGGAGUACGGUCGCAAGAUUAAAACUCAAAGGAAUUGACGGGGACCCGCACAAGCGGUGGAUGAUGUGGAUUAAUUCGAUGCAACGCGAAAAACCUUAGCUACCCUUGACAUGUCACUAACGAAGUAGAGAUACAUUAAGUGCUCGUAAG
rnacentral:rRNA from 1 species